UACGAAGGGUGCAAGCGUUACUCGGAAUCACUGGGCGUAAAGCGUGCGUAGGCGGUUCGUUAAGUCUGCUGGGAAAGCCCUGGGCUCAACCUGGGAACUGCAGUGGAUACUGGCGGACUAGAGUGUGAUAGAGGAUGGUGGAAUUCCCGGUGUAGCGGUGAAAUGCGUAGAGAUCGGGAGGAACACCAGUGGCGAAGGCGGCCAUCUGGAUCAACACUGACGCUGAGGCACGAAAGCGUGGGGAGCAAACAGG
rnacentral:rRNA from 1 species